AGUUUGAUCAUGUGGCUCAGAUUGAACGCUGGCGGAUGCUUUACACAUGCAAGUCGAACGGCAGCACGGACUUCGGUCUGGUGGCGAGUGGCGAACGGGUGAGUAAUGUAUCGUGCUGGAACGUGCCUCUAGUAGCGGUGAUAACGCUGCGAGGCGUAGCUAAUACCGCAUACGCCCUUCGGGGGAAAGCGGGGAAUCUUUCGGGCCUCGCACUAUUAGAGCGGCCGAUAUCGGAUUAGCUAGUUGGUGGGGUAACGGCUCACCAAGGCGACGAUCCGUAGCUGGUUUGAGAGGACGACCAGCCACACUGGGACUGGAGACACGGGUCCAGACUCCUACGGGAGGCAGCAGUGGGGAAUUUUGGACAAUGGGGGAAACCUCCGAUCCAGCCAUCCCGCGUGCGAUGAAGGCCUUCGGGUUGUAAAGCACUUUUGGCAGGAAAGAAACGGCACGGGAUAAUACCCCGUGCAACUGACGGUACCUGCAGAAUAAGCACCGGCUAACUACGUGCCAGCAGCCGCGGUAAUACGUAGGGCAAGCGUUAAUCGGAAUUACUGGGCGCAGCGUGCGCAGGCGGUUCGGAAAGAAAGAUGUGAAAUCCCAGAGCUUAACUUUGGAACUGCAUUUUUAACUACCGAGCUAGAGUGUGUCAGGAGGGAGGUGGAAUUGCGUGUAGCAGUGAAAUGCGUAGAUAUGCGGAGGAACACCGAUGGCGAAGGCAGCCUCCUGGGAUAACACUGACGCUCAUGCACGAAAGCGUGGGGAGCAAACAGGAUUAGAUACCCUGGUAGUCCACGCCCUAAACGAUGUCAACUAGCUGCUGGGGCUUCCUGGGCCUGCAGCGCAGCUAACGCGUGAAGUUGACCGCCUGGGGAGUACGGUCGCAAAGAUUAAACCCAAAGGAAUUGACGGGACCCGCACAAGCGGUGGAUGAUGUAGGAUUGAAUCGAUGCAACGCGAAAACCUUACCUACCCUCGAUGUCUGAAUCCCGAAGAGAUUUGGGAGUGUCAAAGAGAACUGGAACACAGGUGCUGCAUAUUGCCGUCAGCUCGUGUCGUGAGAUGUUGGUUAAGUCCGCAACGAGUGCAACCUGUCACAGAAGUUGCUACGAAAGGGCACUCCCCAUCAGAGACUGUCAUAUGCAAACCGAGAAGGUGGGGAUGAUGCUGCUUCUCAUGGCCUGAGGGUAGGGCUUCACACGUCAUACAAUGGCUGGGACAGAGGGCCUGCCAACUCACAGGGGGAGCCAACUGCAACCCGACUGGGAAGUCCGGAUCGCAGUCUGCAACUCGACUGCGUGAAGCCGGAAUCGCUAUAACGCGGAUCAGCAUGUCGCGGUGAAUACGUUCCCGGUCUUAUGGAGCACUACAAUGUCACACCACAUGGGAGUGGGUCACUCAGGCGAGGUUAGCCUUAAACCGUAUGAGGGCGAUUACCACGGUAGAUUCAUGACUGGGGUAGUUUGCAAUAGCGGUA
rnacentral:rRNA from 1 species